GGGGGACAAGCGCAGCUUACCAUGCAAGUCGAGCGGGCGUAGCAUACGUCAGCGGCAGACGGGUGAGUAACGCGUGCGUAUUGUACCUUUUGGUUCGGACAACACAGGGAAACUUGUGCUCCUACCGGAUAAGCCCUUACGGGGAAAGAUUUAUCGCCGAAAGAUCGGCCCGCGUCUGAUUAGCUAGUUGGUAGGGUAAUGGCCUACCAAGGCGACGAUCAGUAGCUGGUCUGAGAGGAUGAUCAGCCACAUUGGGACUGAGACACGGCCCAAACUCCUACGGGAGGCAGCAGUGGGGAAUAUUGGACAAUGGGGGCAACCCUGAUCCAGCCAUGCCGCGUGAGUGAUGAAGGCCCUAGGGUUGUAAAGCUCUUUUGUGCGGGAAGAUAAUGACGGUACCGCAAGAAUAAGCCCCGGCUAACUUCGUGCCAGCAGCCGCGGUAAUACGAAGGGGGCUAGCGUUGCUCGGAAUCACUGGGCGUAAGGGGUGCGUAGGCGGGUUUUUAAGUCAGGGGUGAAAUCCUGGAGCUCAACUCCAGAACUGCCUUUGAUACUGAAGAUCUUGAGUCCGGGAGAGGUGAGUGGAACUGCGAGUGUAGAGGUGAAAUUCGUAGAUAUUCGCAAGAACACCAGUGGCGAAGGCGGCUCACUGGCCCGGUACUGACGCUGAGGCCCGAAAGCGUGGGGAGCAAACAGGAUUAGAUACCCUGUUAGUCCCCGCCCGUAACGAUGAAUGCCAGCCGUUAGUGGGUUUAUUCCUUAGUGGCGCAACUAACGCUUUAAGCAUUCCGCCUGGGGAGUACGGUCCCCAGAUAAAACUCCAA
rnacentral:rRNA from 1 species